GUGAACUUCAAAGUCAUCUCCUACUUGGGUACCACCAUCAAGGAGGGUUGAUGUGAGAAUUGAUUGAAUAUUUAUGGAGCUGCUUUCAGGAGAAGAUGGAGGUCCUCCUGCAUGAAGCUUCUGCCUAUCUCUUGGUUUUACAGAGAUAUCUCCCUGCUAACCACCCUCUCUCAUUCUUCCAAUGGAGAUUCAUCUGGGCACUUACGCAAGGGACAACAAACGAGCAUUCCGAGGGCUAAGUUUGACAGGCUGUCUGGAUUUCUGGGUCCCCUCGAAAAUUUAGAAAGCCUGGAUGGACUGUGUGGCAGAUCGACUAGGACGGAGAGGCUGCCCGCAGCAGAUGGAACAUCCCUGUCCCGUUUUCCACAGUUCCCACACCCCGUCAGCCUGAAGCUUGUGUGCUCCCAUUUUUCUUAGAAUAAUAUUCCUUUUCUCAUGUAUUUAUCAAAGAGGAAAAGGUAGA